rnacentral:rRNA from 1 species
AGAGUAUCAGGUAGAUAGGGCAGAGGUGGAAGCACGGUAACGUGUGGAGCUGACUGUUACUAAUCGGUCGAGGGCUUGACCAA